rnacentral:misc_RNA from 1 species
AAGUCGUAACAAGGUAACCGUAGGUGAACCUGCGGUUGGAUCAUUACAAAAAUGUGUGGUUAAUCCCACUUACAUUAUGUGGACUGUUAUCGUAUUUGGCGGCUCUGAGUGUACUGGACAUUAACAAUCCAGCUACCGCCUCGCCAGGUCUUUAUGACUUGGUUAGCCAGGCCGCCGCCGGACUCUGUCAUUUCGGUGACUUUGUUUGGAUAAACACCUAAUGUUGGUUUACUCAGUAGGGCUUAUUUUUUCAUAAUAUGAAUAAUAAAUAAACAACUUUUGACAACGGAUCUCUUGGCUCUC